UAGGUGAACCUGUGGAAGGAUCAUUG
rnacentral:rRNA from 1 species